GAUGAACGCUGGCGGCGUGCCUAAUACACGCAAGUCGAGCGAACGGACGAGAAGCUUGCUUUUCUGAUGUUAGCGGCUGACGGGUGAGUAACACGUGGAUAACCUACCUAUAAGACUUGGAUAACUUCGGGAAACCGGAGCUACUACUGGAUAAUAUUUUGUACCGCAUGGUUCAAAAGUGAAAGACGGUCUUGCUGUCACUUAUAGAUGGAUCCGCGCUGCAUUAGCUAGUUGGUAAGGUAACGGCUUACCAAGGCAACGAUGCGUAGCCGACCUGAGAGGGUGAUCAGCCACACUGGAACUGAGACACGGUCCAGACUCCUACGGGAGGCAGCAGUAGGGAAUCUUCCGCAAUGGGCGAAAGCCUGACGGAGCAACGCCGCGUGAGUGAUGAAGGUCUUCGGAUCGUAAAACUCUGUUAUUAGGGAAGAAAAUAUGUGUAAGUAACUGUGCACAUCUUGACGGUACCUAAUCAGAAAGCCACGGCUAACUACGUG
rnacentral:rRNA from 1 species